rnacentral:lncRNA from 1 species
AACCAGCGACCCUUCCCCAGCAAGGCACAGUCACCGAAUAUUUAUAAUUUACUCAUCAGCCACGCGCCACAACCCAGGUCGGUAGCAUUCUAGGUCCUGCACCUUGGCGCUGCAUUUGUAAGAGCGGAGAGGGACUCCUGCUGCCUUCCUGGCCCUGGGGUCCCGCUGGCCUGCCCUCACCCCUCUUGUAGGUGAUGAAACUUGAGAGAAACUUUUACCCAGGAGAGCCGCAGCUGGGAGGUGCGUGGUGGAGACUGACUGGGUUAACUCUAAGUGGAGGUGAGUGGUGAUGACGAAAAGCUACACCCUUUCCCAGGGAGGGGCCUGAUUGGUGGAGGGCUUCUAGGGCGGGGCAGCUCUGGGGCUAUAUAAACACACUCGGCGGGCUUGGAGUUACGCUGUAGGUUAACUCCUGAGCUCAGGUAAGUCUUCUAGAAGGAGGAGGCUGGGCUUACCUGUGGGAACCU